rnacentral:piRNA from 1 species
UAGGAUGUUCCAGAAUAUGUUUGAGUGA